AAUAUACCACAAGCCAUACAACUCCAUUCGCACUUCCUAUAAGCAGAAGCAGAGCAUGGCGCAGCGGCUUGCAAAUUUGUUUCUCUUAGUGCUUGUCUUCUACGCUGUCAUCGCCAUCUCUCCGGCGGCUUUGGCUGCCAGAGUGAUGAGUAAUCAUGCGUUUGUUCAAAAAAAAUUCAUCAGCAAGAACGACAAUGGUGAAUAUCCUCCUUCUUAUCCAUCCGGACAGUAUCCGCCAGAAUGCACUUAUCCUCCCUGUAAACCUUGAAAAGGAUAACAUCUCGACUAGAAUUAGGUUCGUAACCGUGGCUGUGCUACUGAACCAGUUAAUUAUAAGGCUGCGGCAAGUGUCCUUAAUUCUAUGAUUAUAUAUGUUGGCUAUCUAAGUACUAUUAUCUUAAAUAAAGUUGUCAUGUAUGGAGUACUUAAUUAUACUGUUGUAUUAGCAAUCGUUCAGUAUGUUAAAUAAAGCCUGUUGCUUUUCA